UGGGAGCAAUUUCAGUGGCUAAGCGAAAGUGAUAAGUAUCCCACCUGGGGAGUACGUUCGCAAGAAUGAAACUCAAAGGAAUUGACGGGGGCCCGCACAAGCGGUGGAGCAUGUGGUUUAAUUCGAUGAUACGCGAGGAACCUUACCAAGGCUUAAAUGUAGAUUGACCGAUUUGGAAACAGAUCUUUCGCAAGACAAUUUACAAGGUGCUGCAUGGUUGUCGUCAGCUCGUGCCGUGAGGU
rnacentral:rRNA from 1 species